rnacentral:rRNA from 1 species
UACGAAGGGUGCAAGCGUUACUCGGAAUUACUGGGCGUAAAGGGUGCGUAGGUGGUCGUUUAAGUCCGUUGUGAAAUCCCUGGGCUCAACCUGGGGAAUGGCAGUGGAUACUGGACGGCUAGAAUGCGGUAGAGGGUAGUGGAAUUCCCGGUGUAGCAGUGAAAUGCGUAGAGAUGUGGAGGAACACCGAUGGCGAAGGCAGCCCCCCUGGGCUAACACUGACGCUCAUGCACGAAAGCGUGGGGAGCAAACAGG